CCCUUAGAUGUUCUGGGCCGCACGCGCGCUACACUGAUGCAUUCAACGAGUUUCUUCCUGGUCCGAGAGGAAUGGGUAACCUUUUGAAAGUGCAUCGUGAUAGGGAUAGACUAUUGCAAUUAUUGGUCUUCAACGAGGAAUUCCUAGUAGACGCAGUUCAUCAGACUGCAUCGAUUACGUCCCUGCCCUUUGUACACACCGCCCGUCGCUCCUACCGAUUGAAUGCUCAGGUGAGCCAUUCGGACUUUCAUCAUGCUGGUUUCCAGUUUUGAUGAAGGAAAGUCUUGCGAACCUUAUCAUUUAGAGGAAGGAGAAGUCGUAACA
rnacentral:rRNA from 1 species